rnacentral:sRNA from 1 species
GCUUUCCAUCAUUGUUCACCAAUAACACGCGCCGUUGCGACGGCGCGUGUUUAGCGGCUG